rnacentral:rRNA from 1 species
UACGGGGGGGGCAAGCGUUGUUCGGAUUCACUGGGCGUAAAGGGUGCGUAGGUGGUCGGGUAAGUCUGAUGUGAAAUCUCCGAGCUCAACUCGGAAAUGGCAUUGGAUACUAUUCGGCUGGAGGGUUGGAGGGGGACUGGAAUACUUGGUGUAGCAGUGAAAUGCGUAGAUAUCAAGUGGAACACCAGUGGCGAAGGCGAGUCCCUGGACAACUCCUGACACUGAGGCACGAAAGCUAGGGGAGCAAACAGG